ensembl:lncRNA
UAAUAAUUAUAAUCAUAACAUUCUAAAUAUAUAAUUUUUUAUUAAACAUUUGAAUGUGUACAUGUGCAUUUACUUUGUGCAUAUGCUUUGAAAUGAAACAUCUGAACAAUAAUGAUAACUGAAAUCUGAAUUACCGUAUAAUGAUAAAUGAACAGCUGAAAGAUAACCCCAUAUGACUGGCCAUGGAACUACAACAGUAUCUUUAGAUGAGUAAGAACUACCACAGUAUCUUUAAAUGAGUAAGAACUACCUCAGUAUCUUUAGAUGAGUAAGAACUACCACAGUAUCUUUAGAUGAGUAAGAACUACCACAGUAUCUUUAGAUGAGUAAGAACUACCACAGUAUCUUUAGAUGAGGAUGAACUAGAACAGUAUCUUUAGAUGAGGAUGAACUACCACAGUAUCUUUAGAUGAGUAAGAACUACCACAGUAUCUUUAGAUGAGGAUGAACUACAACAGUAUCUUUAGAUGAGGAUGAACUACAACAGUAUCUUUAAAUGAGGAUGAACUACAACAGUAUCUUUAGAUGAGGAUGAACUACCACAGUAUCUUUAAAUGAGGAUGAACUACAACAGUAUCUUUAGAUGAGGAUGAACUACCACAGUAUCUUUAAAUGGGUGAGCCAUGUCAGGCAUUUAGGAGAUUUCAAUGUUCGGUUCGUCGUCUUUUGGCCAGGCGUAGCCUGUCUGUCGAGAGGAACUGUUCGAUUCUGGAGAUCUGGGCUCGGAGAGAGGACUGUUGGUUCUCCGGGGAGCUUGGAGGAAACAAGUUUAAUCCGGCGCUGGAACCAGUGCCAGGACCAGGAGCGGCGCUGGUAGUGGAACUGUAGGGACGGCCAGCAUAGUUCACGGUCUGAUUCAGUCCCUAGAAAACCCUUUAAAAACCUCUGGACGGUGUUAAUAAGGACGACCAUGGCGAGGGAAAGGAACUCACCCAUGUCCACUCUCCAUCGGGGCAGAGGUAGGGAGGAGUUGGAAGCUCAAUGACUGCGGACCUCCGUCUUCCUUUAUUAGAGUAAACACAAAGCAUCCGUACAAGAGCUUACAAUAAAGUGUUGAAAGUAAAACGAAAAAAGGGAACAUUUUCUCUCACCGUGAACUCUCGGUGUCCAUUCAUGAUGGCGGCGAGUUUAUGAAAUACCAGAAAAUCAGUUAUCAUUUGGACAAGUAUUGGUGGUGACUGAUGUGAGCGAGAAGCUGUCCCGUCCCGCGGCCUCACAGUCAGACUACGUGGAAAGAAACAUUGCGGGCCUUCAUUUGCUUUUCCUAAGCUUUCCAACCAGGUUUCUGUCUCCCUUAAUUGCCAGCAGCUGGAUCCUAUAAAGCGCACAGUGACAGUUUUGUGGUGAUGGUAACAAAAGAGAGUGUGUGUAUGUGUGUAGGGGAUGGAGAUAGAUAGAGGGCGAUGGAUAGAGAUAGAGGGAGAGAGAGAGAGUGAGAAAAGGUUACAGAAGAAAGAGGGCUAGAGAGAGGGAAAUGUGGGACAGUGGAUGAAUUCAGCAGGAAAAGGAGAGAUAUAGAUGAUGAAGUGAGCGAGGGGGAGAGAGAGGGGUGAUGAGGGAGCUGGCUAAAGAGUGAGUGGGUGAGAGUCGAGAGGUAACAAAGAUUCAUUAGUGAGCCUCGUCGCCCACAGCUCGUCCAUUCUGUGUGUGGUAAUGGGAAGUGUCUGUUUGCUGAGCACACGGUCAAUAUGGCCUUUCAUUCCACACUUUCGCUCCACGUCAUUACAAAUUGACCGUCAAAUGUUAUUCAAAAAUAGUUAGCUAAACAAACCAUGUUCAGAUGAAGACUAAGUGCUUUGGUACCCUUUAAAACAAACCAUACUGAGGUUCAAUUCAUUGUAGAUAUGCUUUGCCCUUUGGAUCUGUUUCUGUUAUGCAAUGUUAACAUCAACGUUGAGCAACUAUUUCGGGAUGAGUUUACAGAUUUAUCGGUCAUCCUACUUCUCACACAUUUCACAAAGUAACCUCUAUUUCGUUGGACAGCCAGGACAAAACCAUAUGAUCCACAGAUGGCUGCUUUCAUUAUCCACAAGGGAUCAGUUGCUCUAUUCGGUGGCCUUUGCUGGAAUCUUAAAACCUCAAAAUAAUGUUGGGGUUCACCCCUAAGCAACGUACAUGCCUGGUACACAAACAUCCCCUGAUCCUUUCUGGCACACAGUGAUGUAUGAUGGAAGUGGCCCUCACAGUGCUGCCGGAGCUGGAGCCAAGGCUGAAGUGCUAUGUGAAGCUACCCCAGCCUUAUUAAAAGGUCAUUCCCUGCAGUACUGCCUCCGCGGGGACCGCUGACUUAAGACCGAACAGUGUAUCUAUUACCUGCUGUUUAGCAUCGAGUCGUAUCGGAGCAGCGUCCUGUCUGCCUCGGGAGGUCGGAGUACAUUAACCACGCCGCCGCAUUCACUCGUCAUGAAGCGAUGAAUAAUACGUGUUCUCCCGUAUCAUGUACCGAUGUCGUCCAGUCUGUUUGGUAGGACGUUUGCGGGCGAGACUCUCUUUUGUGUCUUGAGUAUAUAUGUACAGGCUCCUAGCUAGCCCUGAGCUGGUGGUUGGACUUACGGCGUCUUCUGCCGCUGUGGCUCUGAAGGUCUGUCUGAUGGCCUUCCAGUCCCCCCGCGCUGGUCCCUCUUAUGAGGGGACCGACGCCGCGAGGCACUGGGAGCACCAGGAAGACUUGAGGCUGUGGCUGCUGUCACAGGC